CACUUCUAAGGAAGGCAGCAGGCGCGCAAAUUACCCAAUCCUGACUCAGGGAGGUAGUGACAAGAAAUAACAAUAAACCGGCAUCAGCCGGUUUAAUUGGAAUGAGUACAAUUUAAACAUCUUAACGAGGAACAAUUGGAGGGCAAGUCUGGUGCCAGCAGCCGCGGUAAUUCCAGCUCCAAUAGCGUAUACUAAAGUUGUUGCAGUUAAAAAGCUCGUAGUUGGAUUUCUGCGGGAGCGGGGCGGCACACCCACUAUGUGGGUCGUAGCUAGCACUUCUCCUGCAUCCUGCCGCGAACCGUGCUACCAUUAGUUUGGUGGCGCCGGGGAUCGGCUCGUUUACUUUGAGAAAAAUAGAGUGUUCAAAGCAGGCCACACGCCUUGAAUAAGUUAGCAUGGAAUAAUGAUUAAGGACUUCGGUUCUAUUUUGUUGGUGUUCGGGACUGAAGUAAUGAUUGAUAGGGACAGUUGGGGCGGUCUGUAUUCCAAAGCGAGAGGUGAAAUUCUUAGGCCUUCGGAAGACAAACAGCUGCGAAAGCGUUCCGCAAGGAUGUUCCCUUUGAUCAAGAACGAAAGUUGGGGGAUCGAAGACGAUCAGAUACCGUCGUAGUCUCAACUAUAAACUAUACCAGCUAGGGGUCGGCCAACGUUUCUUUAUACCGACUUGGUCGGCACCUUAUGAGAAAUCAAAGCAUCUGGGUUCCGGGGGGAGUAUGGUCGCAAGGCUGAAACUUAAAGGAAUUGACGGAAGGGCACCACCAGCCGUGGAGCCUGUGGCUUAAUUUGACUCAACACGGGAAAACUUACCAGGUCCAGACAUAGUAAGGAUUGACAGAUUGAUAGCUCUUUCUUGAUUCUGUGGGUGGUGGUGCAUGGCCGUUCUUAGUUGGUGGAGUGAUUUGUCUGGUUAAUUCCGUUAACGAACGAGACCCCAGCCUGCUAAAUAGCGCGCGUGAGCUUUGCUCGCGGCGAGCUUCUUAGAGGGACUAUGAUGCGCGAUAGCACAUGGAAGUUUGGGGCAAUAACAGGUCUGUGAUGCCCUUAGAUGUUCUGGGCCGCACACGGGCUACACUGGCGCCUGCAACGAGCAUAUCAGCUGGCCCGAGAGGGUCUUGGCUAAUCUUUUGAACCGGCGCCGUGCUUGGGAUUGACCUUUGCAAUUGUUGGUCAUGCAACGAGGAAUGCCUUGUAAACGCGAGUCAUCAGCUCGCAUUGAAUACGUCCCUGCCCUUUGUACACACCGCCCGUCGCUCCUACCGAUGAAUGUUCCGAUGAAAUUUUCGGAGAGCACCUGUGAACUUGGCUCCGCCUUGCGAACGGGAGGCUCAAAGUCACUUAAAUCUGAACAUUU
rnacentral:rRNA from 1 species